UUGCUGAAACACAUAAACACAACACUCUCCAGCAAAACACACACCCACACACAUGCUCAAGACACCAUGAUGACGUAGAACUAACCUUUAAGACACAUGGAAACAUCUACAACUAUACACAUACAGUAUACAUUACAAGAUUAAUGGUCAAGUGUACACAUUUUUAUUUCUUAACACUUUUCUACAUUGUGCCAUAUUAUAAGCACAAACUUCAAUGUAUUUUGUCUCGACUUUAUAGAUAUGCCAACAAUAACAAGCGGACAAUUGUAAAGUGGAAGAUAAAGUAUAGUUUCAAAAUUGUUUAGCUAAAUUAAGAUCUAGAAAGUGUUGCUUGCAUUUGCAUUCAGCUCCCACAACUCAAUACUUUGUAGAACCAACAUCAGUUGCAAUUACAGCCCAAGGCGUUGGGGUGUGUUCCUAACAAAUUUGCACUACUAAUUUGUUGUUUGUCAUUGUUGGUCAUUUUUAUUUGCAAUUGUGCCAAGUGUUUAGCAUCCGCUAACACUUUUAGCACAAUCCAUCUUUUAUCAACUUUGAGCAGCUUCCCUAUCCCUGUUGAAGAAAAGCAUCCCCAGAGCAUGAUGCUGCCUUCACUAUGUUACACCAUGGGGAUGGUGCAUUCAUAAGGAUGUGCAGUGUUAUUUUUCUUCUGCACAUGUAUUCCAAAAUGUUGAAGAUUGGUUUCCUCUGACCAGAAUUACCAGAUCUUUACUGGGCUUCCCCUAUGACUGAGGCAGAACCAUGAGGUACAUGGUGGUGGCUAAAUCAUGCUGUAGGGAUGCUUUUCUUCAAAUAAUAAAAUUAUUCCAAUACUUAAAAUCCUAAUAAAAUACAUUGAAGUAUGUUGUUGUAAUGUGACAAAGUCUGAAAACGUUCAAAGGGUCUGAAUACUUCUGCAGGCCACUUUAUGUGUGAUUUAACAAAACCUCAGACUGUAAAUAGUGAAAAAACAAAAGAAGGGACUCUUACAAGAAAUAUACUCUCUCUGUUAAUCUAUUACCAAAAAUAUAAGACUUAAACCUUUACUAUCUGAAUUCAUUUACAUUUACACGAAAAGCUAUGUUCUUGCUUUUAAGCUAAUGCUAAUUUAAGUAAAGAUUGUUAAUUUGAAAAUAGAACAAACAAUUUAUGUAAAUGUGCAUAUUUAUUAUGCCUGAUUGGGGAUAACUGUGUUUUUCUGACUCAUGUACUUACAGAGUUUCCAGUCUGAUUCUUGGUACAUGUAGAAUAUGAACCAACAGGCUUUAACACCACCUUGGCUGCAUGAGGACUGGAUGCAGUUUGAGGUGAAUUUGCACAAUAUGCUUAACAGGUGAUUCUAAUGUUCACUUUUGAUAAAGAUUAUUGUUAGAGUUUAUCCUGAGCUGUCUCUGUAGGCUGGUGGACAUAUUGCUCACAUUCCCCAUUUUGCUACAGUAUGUUCUCCUCUUUAUGCACAUUAUUUGAUAUUAUUGCUGAUUUUACAUGUAUUUUCUGGCUUUGUGUUUCUUUGCACAGAAGGCUCACCUAUUAUACCUAUUCUGACAAUAGGUACAAUAGGUGAGACUAGGUAAGACUGUAACCAGGCUUACCUAGGAUUGUUCAACUUUCUGUACAUUUAACUGUUAUAUAAUUUUAUAUUACAUAUUAAUGUGAAACUUAGCCAACUAAACUCAGUCUCAUGGGAGCAUAUUGCUCACACUGGACACAUGGACAUUGAAUAAAAUGCUGAAGAGUGAUGGAAGCACAGAUUAGAAAGAGAGGAAAGAAGAAAAUAGGCUUAUUUCCACACCUGAUAUUGACAUUGGUGAAUUUACUAAUAUUAUCUCCAUUGCAAGAUUUCUAAUGUCCUGCAGCCCAACUUUAGAAAACAAAUUGUUGUGAAUUGGUGCUAUGUGAAUGAAGGAAACUGAUUAGAAAUUAGCCACAAUUAGAUGCAACAUCGUCAUUACAAGAAGAAACCACAGAAAACUAAAAAACAACACAUGCCAAAACUAAAGUAAAUUACAAAAAUUCGGGACAAAUGGCAUCUUGGAAAAAGUGUAAAGAAACUCAAGAAGUUCAAGUUAGCUGCUGUGUUUCAUUGUUGUCAUCUUCAGUAGGUUAAGGAAUUUUUUUUUCAUAAUCUGUUAUUUUGUUCUCAGAUGAUAUCAGGGAGCUGGGCUUCAAAGCAGAAUUAAUGGUUUAUCCAGAUAAUGUCAGGGCUUUCAGUAUUACAACACCACUGGUUCACCUCUUAGCUGGCUUUGUUACUAUGGUAACUAAACUACUCUGGAUCAGGGCAAUUUAAAUGUAAUAUAAGUCUGGAUGGCAAUGAAAAUAACUAAACGACAAUGCAUUUGCUUUUUGGACUGCUUUGGUUUUACCUUUGCUGAUAAUUUAAGUUAAUUUAUUUGGUAGAGACUAUGCAUAUUAAUUAACAUUUUUUCUAAAUAGGCCAUAAUUACCCAAAAGGUCAUUUUUCAUCUGUUGUCCCUGUGCAAAGAAGAUUUAAAGCAGCCGGAAUUAGUACGAGAAUCACUCUUCAUGUGUUCCCGUUAUGAAUGGUGCAUAUGGGUAAGCAUCAUUCAUAAUAUUCCUCUGUCAAAAUGCUACUUUUGCUGUGACAUCACUGAGCCAUUAUUUUCUUUUUUUAUUUAAAGAUUAACUUUCUCUCUGCUUCUGUGGUGACAAAUGCCUGGUAAAGCAGUGAUAGAGAAUUAUCAUUUGAGUUGGUUUUGAGUUGCCAAAAUCAACUCAAACAUCAUUUGAUGUUUGAGUGGAUUUUGUCAUAUCUCUAUAAAAAAUUGAGAGAUAUGUUGAACCAACUUUGUAGUAUAGGGUAAGUGUUAUCUCCUACAGAAGAUCAGCCAUUUCUGUGGAUAAUCAAAUUUAACUAACUGCUAACCAAGAUAUAUUGAUCUUAUUCAGGCUGCAGAAUUUGCAGAAACAUCAAAAGGUUCUGCGUGGAGAGGUGCGCUAACGGCUAAUCGGUGUACAGCUAGUUCCAGAACCGAUUUCAGGUACCUUAUGACAACUACAACUCAUUUCAAUGUUAUGUUUAUGUUCUGAUCAAGGAAUCCAGAAUGAUUCAAAUUAAAUUAUAUUCCAAAAUGUCAGAAAUGAUUUCUAUCCAAGAAAACCAACAUAUUGCAUCAAAUAAUAACUUUAGCGUAGGUAACAUCAUUUUCAGGCAUAGAGCCAAAGUAUACUGCAGGUAAGAUGUUGCCUGCUGAUUCUAAGUCUCAGAUCAACGUCUGUCUCCAUUUGCUUUCAACAUGGACAAUUCCUGAAAUCUGUUUAUAUGUAUGACUUGUACUUAUUUACUAUCACUGCUGCAAUGGUUGAGUAAAGAAAUUAUUAUUAGAUGGACAGGGUAAAAAUUCAGUGCAUCUGCACAUUGAGUGCUGGGUGCAGAAACUGCUCACUUUGUACCAACAAGACAGAAAUUUCUCAAGGAAACUGCUGAACCUACUCCAUCUUUGUUGUAAACUUGAAGCACAGGAUUAGCUGUAUUUCAAGAAACAGCAUGUUUGGUUCAUUUUGAUAAAUUAGAAGAUGCUGAAGCUCUGAUCCCUGGUGCUUUUAGGUGGCUUAGUUUGAGCCCAGCUCUGCCCAAAAAGUAACAAAAUCCUUCCAGAAGCUUGCAGUUUCUUUGAUCCAUUCCAUACAGUCUCCAAGGAAGAAGCUCCAGAUUGUUACUCAGAAAUAGUUCAGCGCAGCAGUGAUUACACAAUAAGAGCUUAUGGCCCAGUUGGAGGAUUUGGUUACUGCUGGGUGGAGACAGAUUGGCCAUUUUCUUGUUUAUGUAUGUAUGCUAAACUAAGCCAGUGUGUCCUGGAUCCAGCCUCGGAUAUAAGACAGACAGAAGUCGAGGAGAGUAUAUAUAAUCCGGCUCAGAAAUACAGUAUGCGCAUUUUAAAAUGUCAAAGUGAUUCUUUCAUGGAAUCUUAAGUCUGAUUGAGCAGCUACUGAAAAUGAUUUAACUGAAGAUUUUAGCCAAUACCAAUGAAAUUUACAAAACUAAAACAUUGGAAAAUGAUACAGUCACAACGCCGCCUACACUUAUUGACACCUCUGGUAAGGAUAUGAAUAGCGAACCUUAAAAUGAAUUCAUCUUUAAUUGCAGUAUGAUGAUUUUACAAUGAAAACACUUUAAACAUUUAAUUUGAGUACGGUAAUUCACUUAGAAAAUCCACUGUAAUUUAAAAAAAAUUGGUAGCACACUUAUUAGCCUCCCUAAUAAUUCCUAUCUAGUAAAUGCAACUGAAUUGUCAGUAAUUUGGUCUUCACUUUAUUUAGGUUUAAAAGAGUUUGAAAAGGUUCAUUAAUAAUUUUUAUCAUACUAUUCAAUUACACUGACAUAUUGCAGAAUAUUAUGCAACCUAGCAAAGUUUCAAAAUGGGAAAGACCAGAGAACAUUCUAUUUAAGUAAGACAGGUGUGUGUUGCUCACUGUGGGUCAAGAAAUAAUGACAAGAAAUAAGACACUCGUCCAAAUGUGCCCUUUCCUACAGUUAGACCAAUAAUUAAAACAUCUAUAAACUGGAAAUGUGGCAAACAAGGCUGGACAAAAACCCAAAUGUAUCUUUCCACAGCACACAAUAAGCAGCAAUGUAAAGGAGGUAAAGAAAUCUUCAGAUCUCAUUAUAGGAACACUAAAAUCUCUUGCAUGGAAAAGCAGAAAGUUAGUUUAGACUUUUAGAGGACACCUCCAUAAUAAGCCUUUCUGCUUUCUGUCAGUGGAGUCCCUUAGUUUGUAUUACGGAUACUUUAAGGUUUUCAAAAAAUAAAAAUAAAAUAAAUAAAUAAAUAAAAAACUUAUUUUCAAGUGGAACAGACAACCACCAAACCAUUACCGGUUUGUGUUCUGGUAUGUUGAAACUCCAGCAAAGAGUGGCAUCUUGAAUUUACACAGCCUCCAUAUACUAUCCAAGUAUCUAAACACUAUUUCCAUACUAACUUUUGGAUUGGUAAGCAUGCCAAGAAACAACUCUCUUUGUCUGAUCAUUACAAACAAAACCAUUUGGAGUUAGCUAAAAGCUACUUAGCUCACCAGGACAAUUAGUCCUGGUAGAUCAGGUUUAAUCCAAAAGAUGAAAAUGUGUAAGCGAAUCCAGUUCCCUUUGUUAAGCAUGGAUGAGGAUCUGUGAUGCUGAGGGCCUGUUUACCUUCCAAAGUCUCUAGAGUCCAUGGCAUCAUGAGCUCUUUGAAAUGCCAGGAGAAUUUAAAUACAGUUCUGGUGGACUCUAACAGAAAAACUGAAAGCAGGUAAUUAUCGGGUAAUUUACAUUGCAGUGAUCCAAAUCAUGAUGAAAAUGCUUCACCAGACAUGAAAUCAACCUUCUUCCUUAGCCUUUAUUUUUCUUCAAUCUUAUAGAAAAACAGUGAGACACAAGCUUAACAGCAGGUGCAGGCUGAUGGUCAUUCUAGUCAAUUUGCAAAAAAUAAAUUUCUCCUUUAUGGUCCCACCUUGUGAAAUGUUACUGAUGAAAAAAAUAAACAUCAGUGAAACAUAUUCAUAGUGUAUACGUAAUCUGAUAUUUUAAAAUAAUUAUGUUUCUUAAUAUAAGAUUACUCAUGUAGAGUAAAAGAACAUUAAAAUACUGCAAUAAAAACCAUAUUUAUUUAAAAGCUGAUCUUCACAUCUUUUCCAGGGUUGUCAACAACUGUAAAGAAUGUUCUACGCCGACUGCAGACAACUUACAAAAAAACUCGACUGUCUAUCAGCUGCUACUGCAAAUAAAACGGGUUGUUCUAGUUAUUAUUUCCCAAAGAAACCCUCACAGAUGACUCAGAAAGAGCUUCCUAAAGGUGCUCACUGAUUCCGCACCUGCAGGAGGGAGCUAGUAAAACAAAAGCAAGUCAUAAAGUGCUAAAAGAAUUAUGUGUUUUAAACUGCAAUUACCUUUUGAACUCCUAGAAAAUGUUGAAAUCAAUAUUUAGUAAAAAAAAAAAAAAAAAAAAUCUGCAUGGCCCAUCUAUUACUGAAGGCAAUUACUUAGCCUUUAUUUAUAAUUUAUUCAAGUGGAAACGCCCGACACAGCAGAUACAAAACAACUGCGGGGGAAAAUGAAAUUAUACUCGUGAUAGGAGUUCAUUAGCGAAAGAAAAUAGGAUGAGAGUGAGUAAAUGGUUAGCAGGCAGAGGGGAGCAGGGUGCUGUUUUCUUGGAGCUUUUUUUUCUGCGGUUUGCUUCGGCUCAUUGCUUCCCAGAGAACAGCACACAUCUCUGAUAGAAACAGUAAAUCAUACCUUUAAGAAAAAUCAACUUUAAACCUGUGAGUAGGCAGGAAUGCAGGAGCGGAAAGGCCCAAAUUAGAAGUGUGUGGAGUUAGCAGGUUGUCAGGUAGCAUGUUUUUGUUUAGCUGAAGGUUUUGUUUAGAUCAGGUGCAGAUGCCUGUCCACUUCACAGUCGAGUUGAGCGUGCAGUGCAUGCAGACCUCGCAGAAUACGUGCUAAGGAAGGCUGCUCUAUGUGCAAAUGAGGCAGUGCUCUGAGGAGGAGGGUCAUGCUAGAAGAUGUACACAGGAAGAUUAUUUGACUCUAAAAAUCAUGCCAACCAACAUAAUGUGAUAAAACAACGCAACGCAACACUAGAGAUAAGUGCCACUUUUUUUUCCUUUACAGAAGGAGGCAGCAGGAAUGGUGUUAAUCAGAAAAGAGGAGAUUAAAAAGGAUUGAAAUAAAUUAGUGAAAGAAAGACAGAUAAAGUAGAGCCUUUGCAGCAACAAGGAAUGACUUUUCUGUGCAUGCAGAUGAAUCGAGAGGCAUGCAUAUAAUUCAAAAGAGGAGCAAAGAAACAGAAAAGCUUAGUUAACAUGCAGUUUAAAUUUGCCAUAACUGACAUGUUCACAGCUUAGAGAAAUCUUUUGACUCGACAUGACAGUGCUCGGUGGGACUUCAGAGCACUCUGGGGCCACACAGAGGACACAAAGGGUAAAACGCCACAUUUAAAGAAAACAGUGAUGAAACACAGAGAGACAUGGUAACCCCGUGGGGACCUCAAAGACGAAAAGCAGACCCACUUCACAACAGCUUUAUGCCUUGUGCCAGGACAAAAAACAAAACAAAACUAAAAAACAAAACAAAAACAAAAAAACUAUCAAGUUUGUGUGGCACAGGACUCCUUCUUCUAUAGCCAACACAGAAAUAGAAAACCAAAGGGGGCCUUCUGAGCGUCUGUCAGACAUUAAACGUCCACGCCACUGCCUCACAGAGAAAAGUGUCUACCCACAGAGCUGUCACACACCUGAGCAGACGCCGCUCUGUACAAACAGUCACUGAAUGACAUGAAGCACACACGUCACAGCAGUAUGUGUCAACCAAAAUCACACAUGGAGGACACAUUUCUGCCAAUGUAUCCCGUCAGGAUUAUGUUUGUUAAGACAGUGCUCUCUCUGCUAGACACUGGUUCCCAACUCUUUCGGCUUGUGGCGAGUUUCCAUUGAACCUUCUCCACAUUUUGUUACAUAAUAACAGCAAAGUUUGAUUUAUUUUAUUAGGUUUUAAUGUGACGUACCAUCACAAUGUAUUGCAUGGCAGUGACAUUAUCAUGCUCUGGGGAUGUUUUUUUUUCAGCUGAGACAGAUUGAAUGCUCUAGUUAGGUGAAAGUAAAACAUAACUUUUUGGCUGCUAUGCAGAAGAAAGCUCUUGUCACUUUCUUUGUCGUUCUUCUUGCUGCUUUUCCAUGAAGGCCAAAGUUGUGGAGUGCACUGUUGGCCUGCCAACAGAUUCUCCCAGCUGCGUACAGCUUUACGUUGGUCCAAAACAAUAAAUCAUCAUUAGAAAAAUAUUAAGCUUUGAGACCAUAUUGUGACUUUUACAAGUUUUUAUGCCUUGUAAAACAGAACAGUACAAGUCUGUUCUGUUUUAUAAUCUUUAAUCUGAGUGUAGGUUCCAUUUCAAAUGGCCUUAGUUUAAUUUUAAAGCACAGCUGGGGGCCAGUGGGGCAAUUUGUUCAAAACAACAGAAAAAAGUAAUCUCUUUAUAUUUUCCCAGAGAGUCAGACUUUCAUGUAAUCUUAUAAAGUGUUUAGGAUCGAUAUUUCUUCUGGCUUUCUGAAAAUCUUUCUGUUUGUCUUGAACAGCUCUCUGUUUUUUCAUGUUUAGUUCAGCACCUGACCCUUUUAUUUAUUAAGGCACUUAACUCUGACCUAUGAAUCAUUCAGGCAUUAAAAGAGCCAACAUUUUGUCCACAGACAACCUCACAAAGAGUCAAGUUUAAAUUGGAUCUUUAGACUUUUAGUUAGCAGCAGCCUGUCACAAAGGUACUCUUUAUUCCUAUUUCUUUAGUUGAAUAUAUGAAGUAAACAAGUCUGACAGACAUAAUGGAGUAUUUUAACACCAACAAGGUCGUUCUUAAAUGCCACAUUGGAAGAAAUCUUGACAAAUGACUGUGGAAUGAAGAAUAUCUUUGCUGGAGAUUUUUUAUCUUAUAUAUUUUUUUAAAGACAUGCCCUUCAGAUACUUUUCUUCUGCUUUAGCAUUUAUGCCUGACAUAUUUUCUUUUUGUUCUCCAUUUGUCAGAUUGUCUUAUUCUUUUAAGCAUGACAUGCUGCCACAUUCAGGUGCUUGGACUGUAAAUCAGGGAAAGAGCUACCACAAAAAACUUUAAAGGAAUCAUAGCAAGAAGUUUUUGAAAAACAAACAUAAAUAAAUAGUGGUCUAAAAUGUUUGCGAAAACUGCAUCUACCUGUACUCAACUAAAAAAACAAUUCUUUUGAUAUUCUGCACUAUAAAAUAUAAAAAAUACCAAAUAAUGUAACAAUAAAAUUCACAAUUAACUGGAAAUGCUAAAAAAUAUUUCCAUAGUUAGUUUUAGAGAAAAAGAGUAAAAAUGUAGAACCGACUGACAUCUCCUUACUGCACCAGGCAUCCUGAUGAAUGGGCAAAACACAAGACUGCAGCUCCUAGAGAGCGGACUGAAUUAACUACACACUUAAAUAUUUAAAGCACAGUUUCAGAAACUUAAUUGUACCUAUUAAUAAACAUGUCUAUGUGCAUGGAUGGGCAUAUAUUGCAGAAUUUAAAAUCUGGAACAUUCUUUCAGCAGAUCAGGUUCAACUGGUUGUUAAAUAAACAUUUACUGUACAUAAGCAUGCUAUAUUGUCUUCCAUAUAGAAAUAUUUUCUCUUUGGAGCAACAGGUGUGUUUCUGCGUACACAUAAUUUAUUCAUUUGGAACCUGCAGGCAGUGAAUAGGUGAGAGGCCAGCUGCUAAAACAUAGAGGAGGGUUUUCAGCUCAGAGUGAGCUGACAAAUGUAAAACAGAGAACUCUGGAAACUAUUUUGUUGAACUUUAAAUCGUGUUUAUUCAGGGGAUGGCUGUAUCAAAUAUCAAAUCAAAUAUUUUGAGACGAACAGGAGUUCAUCAAGAGUGUGUAUCUUACUUUCUGUGUUGCAUAAGAUGCUUUUAUUCAUUAGUUCAUUGUCUUCAUUGAUGUUUUUGCAGUUACAGUUGGAGUAAGCAUGAAGGGUAUUUAAUAUUUCACUCUGUCCACAUAAUAAAUUGGAUCAGGAUGCCAAUAAAGCCAUUUUUAAAUCUAUCUAUGUUGCCCCCUGGAUUAACCUCAAAACCUGAUGUUGGUGUAUAGUCUUUGAUUUUAUGUCAGCAACACACACAGCGUUAUUAUGCCCAACUAACAGCUACAUUUUGUGCAUCUAACAUUUUAAAACCCCUAUUUUUGUGUAUACUCUUUACAUACCUGUGCUGUAGAAGAUAUACAUUUUAAUCAAUCUGUGUAUUCCUUAAAAAUAAAAAAACAACUAGUGUUCCUAUAUUUAGAGUGAAAUAGAGACUGUGUAAACUGAUGUAUCUCCUCGCCUGCUAGGGUCAUGAGAUUGCUACCAAUGUUUCAUCACACAUCGUUCAGAGAAAAAUGCUAAAUUCAUCAAGUAGAACAACAUUUUCCUCAUGUUUUUUCACAAACCAUUAACAAGAACUGCACUGAAAUAUGUUUCAAGCCAAAUUAUUAACAAGUUGUCUUAAAAAAUGGAUCAAGCACAUUAGUAUAACACCAUAUAUGUUGUCUUUAAUUGAUGGCAAUUUUGUUUGUCAAAUGUGUUUU